GGGAAACUGAAAACCCUUCUCCCAGUACGCCAUUGAGUCAAAAUUCCCAAGCUUUCUGCAUCCAAUUGAAAUCCAACUUUCUAUAUCUAAAGUCCUGUUUCUUUUUUGUUGAACUAUUUCCUUCCGGGUGCCGAGGAUCGAAGCUCUCAUGGCAUCGAAGAAGAAACAAUCUGAAGGUAUAGCUUUACUCUCGAUGUACAAUGACG
rnacentral:misc_RNA from 1 species